rnacentral:lncRNA from 1 species
AAAUACUCCAUCUCAAACAAAAUAAAGCCGGGUGGCCAAAACCUGUUAACUCCAGCGUCAGCAGAGGCUGAAGCAGGAAGACUGAAAAUUCAAGCCUGAAAGAACUAUAUAGACUGACCAGCCUAAACAACUUGGCUGCAGUAUUCUCCCGCAGCCUUAGCGAGAACCGGCUUUCUCGGCUCCGCUGGUAGACGGCGCUGUAGGAUCAUCGACCUCUUGGUCACGCUCAGCCCUGGUUCCGACCCUCUCUCUAAUUCUCCGGAAUAGGGACUGAAUAUGCCCGAGCAUCGCCAAUUUUUAUGCAAAACUUUUGUGGUCGUGUCAAUCCCCCCGCCGCCACCAUCCAUUUCUGCAAUUCGCGUGCAGACCUGAAGCCGCGUUUGGUUCCUAGCAUUCUGGUGGAAGUGACCUCCAGCUAUUCGGGCCUCCAGGGCUAUGCAUGGGAAAUCUUGAUAGAGAUCCAACCCGGCAGCCCGCUCUUGUCUCUGUCAGCUAAUUGUUUAGUCGGAUGUUUGUUUAUCCUGGAGCGAAGGGGGGCCGGGUGCGCGGGGGUGGCUGCCCCAAGGGAAGCCUGCUUCCUGUCGUUGGCUUACUCAGCUACCAUUCGCCUACUUAAGUCCUGGAAAGAAUUGCAGAGCUGGGAAGGCCUUGCCGGAUGGUGCCUUCACCCAACAACAACA